rnacentral:rRNA from 1 species
UGGGGAAUAUUGCGCAAUGGGCGGAAGCCUGACGCAGCGACGCCGCGUGGGGGAUGACGGCCUUCGGGUUGUAAACCUCUUUCGACAGGGACGAAGUUGACGUGUACCUGUAGAAGAAGCGCCGGCUAACUACGUGCCAGCAGCCGCGGUAAUACGUAGGGCGCAAGCGUUGUCCGGAAUUAUUGGGCGUAAAGAGCUCGUAGGUGGCUUGUCACGUCUGCCGUGAAAUCCUGUGGCUUAACUGCGGGUCUGCGGUGGAUACGGGCUGGCUAGAGGUAGGUAGGGGCAAGCGGAAUUCCUGGUGUAGCGGUGAAAUGCGCAGAUAUCAGGAGGAACACCGGUGGCGAAGGCGGCUUGCUGGGCCUUACCUGACGCUGAGGAGCGAAAGCGUGGGGAGCGAACAGGAUUAGAUACCCCCGUAGUCC